CAUUCAUAAACACAGACGAAUUUAUGAUGACAUUUGAUGCAUUAAAUCAACUUGAUUGUCACGGGUAAGAGGGCUGAUAAAUGCGUCCUAGUUUAUGUCCUGUAUCCAUUGUGCCAAUUUAUUUCUGAUCCAAAAUAGACACGACCGUAUUUUGCUUGUACUUAAAGGACCUGAGUAUUUGUAAUUGUUUUUGAAGAUGAUUUAAAUCAUUAUUUGGCUUUGAUUGUCAAAUAGCCCUUUACCACUUAAUUACUUAUGUUAAGGUUCAUGUAGAGGCUUCAUUUUGAAAAAUGUGGGACCACUAGCAUUGAACUUAAAUUUGACUAAAGGAAGAGUGCCACGUUGAAAAUGUAUACAAAUAUGCUUUAAAGGAUGUUUUUCCUUCAAACUGCUACCCAUUUUGUACAUCAACGUAUCAUAACAUCCACAAAAUCAAUCAAAAUACAAAGCGAUUUUAACACUAAAAUAUACAUUAUUUUCAAAAAUCUGAAUCAUGUUUAUUCCAUGUAUUUCGGCGGAAAAUUAUAUAACUAGUGAUUAAUAUCGACAUUGACGAGGGCAAGUUACGCGUAAAUAGUAAAAAAAAGUUUACAUAUCUAGAAAUAUCAAAACUCGAACACAUGUCAUUUCAUCACCAUGGGGGGCAGCCAUUUUUAAAUUAAUAAAAUAGAAAGAAACAUGCUAAAAACUUACUCAUCGCCUAAUUGACAUUCCAAACGGUUGACGAUGACAAAUGCAUUGGAUUGUAAUCUUUCCGUUGAUGUUUGCAAACUGCAUGAUCAGACCUCAUAAGCACUCAAAAGAAUAACUAUGUAAGAAGCAUUUCACCAAUGUUUACAAUCGUUGUCGAAUCACUGUACUUAUAUUAUUGCGCAUAAAAUAGUACGCUUACAGACCGACAGAAAGAUCGAUACGUAACUCCGUUCAAUUCAUCACGGUAUACUAUUCUAUUGAUAAUAUAUAUCAUACAUCGCUUUAACAAUCAAAAAGUAGAAAUAAUUCGUUUAAACGGAGUUUUUAAUAACGAAAGUGAAAACAACGGAAGUUGGAUGGAUAUUCUGUGAGAUGCACUUCGGCUCCAGAAAAACAAUACAAAUAAACUAAAAAAGACGUGUGAGGGACAAUUUUCAGCUGGAAUAUAUUUGAAAUAGGACCAAGAACUGGAGUGUACGUGCAUACUAUAGCAAGUAAUCAUGCCCGCAUACGAUAUUCAGGACGCCGAUCUUCGGGGUAUGUCAUCAUCACAGCUUAUUGUUUUGUAUCGUCAGAGAGGUUAUUCUAUACGUGAAAUUCUUGGAGUUAUGGCCAUACGACAUGGAACAAUAACAAGCGAACGAUCAAUUUUCCGAGUCUUGAGACGUUACCGCCUGACUAGAGGCCAAAGUCAGCACAGUCUCGACGAAAUUAUUCAAGAAAUAUUGCUUGAGUUAUCAGCUUCCGGUGAAAAUGCUGGUUACCGGCAAAUGCGUCAAAGACUCCUGAUUAAUCAUGGACUUGCAGCUACAUUUGAGAUGGUUCGUCUUAUUUUAGGACUCAUUGAUUCACAAGGUGCUGCCGAUGUACAUAUCCAGCUUUUAUUUAGAUUACAUUAGGGAAAUUGAUGGCAUUCCAGUUCGGGUUUACGGUGACGCGGUAUAGAAAAUUCUAUUGUCCGUGAUGUGCAAAUGGCAUUACGAUGGACAGACGCAGAUCAGUACCAGGGGAUCCAAAGCUUCGUCUAUGUUUCAUCUAACAGAAAUGUCUGAAUUGAGAGGUUUUGGCGAAGUCUUAGAGAAAUGAGUGGAAAUGUCUGGAUGAACCAUUUUAAAGAUAUGAGUGAUUUCGGAUUACUGGACACAUCUGAUAGUGUGCACUUAGAAUGCAUUAGAUAUUGUUUUCUUCUUGUCAUUAGUAAAGACCUGAAUGAAGUUUGCAAUAUUUGGAAUACUCAUUGUGUUCGUCGAAAUAACCGAAUUUCAUGUCCUGCAGGAAAACCUGAGGUGUUGUUCUUUCAGCCAGAAGUACAUGGCGCAAGAGAUUGUAAAAUAUCACUGGUUGACCAAAGGGAAUUAAAUGAUGUGGAACGGGAGUAUUCUCAACGCCCUCCAGAACUUGUUGUAUCACAAGAGUUCCUGACAAUUGCAAGAGCAGCUGUCGGAGAUUUGAAUCUUCAAUACCCACCUAGAAACAGAGAAGAAGGAACAGAGCUUUUUGCUGCAAUAAUCAUGUACAUUGAACGCCUCGUUUAACACGGAAAUGAAACAAAAAUGAACUUAAUGAUACUUCCUUAGAAGCUGGCUAACUUGUGCAUUGGUUGACAAAAUGUCAAUUAAUAGAUAUAGUUGUGUCUGAAAGCAGAGCAAGUACUAGUUUUAAACAAGCUGUUGGCUUUGUAUGCGUUGUCAUUGCCAUGUAUGAUUGUGUGUCAAUAAAACAAUACAUGUUUU